UACGAAGGGGGCUAGCGUUACUCGGAAUUACUGGGCGUAAAGGGCGCGUAGGCGGGAUGGCAAGUCGGUCGUGAAAUCCCUCGGCUCAACCGAGGAACGUCGAUCGAUACUGCUGUUCUUGAGGAUUGCAGAGGAGACUGGAAUUCCCGGUGUAGCGGUGAAAUGUGUAGAGAUCGGGAGGAACACCGGUGGCGAAGGCGGGUCUCUGGGCAAUUCCUGACGCUGAGGCGCGAAAGCGUGGGAAGCAAACGGG
rnacentral:rRNA from 1 species